AUUUGUAAAACUUUCUACUUCUUAUUUUCAACCUUUUAAGUGAUUAUGGCACUUUACUGAGAAAGUUCCUGUCAAAAUAAUACAAAUUCAAAAAAGAAGACCUUGUUUAUUGGUGGACAAGCAGUAAUAAGAUAUUGAAGCAUGUAAAACAACUAACA